rnacentral:rRNA from 1 species
GACGAACGCUGGCGGCGUGCUUAACACAUGCAAGUCGAGCGGUAAGGCCUUUCGGGGUACACGAGCGGCGAACGGGUGAGUAACACGUGGGUGAUCUGCCCUGCACUCUGGGAUAAGCUUGGGAAACUGGGUCUAAUACCGGAUAUGACCACAUGCCGCAUGGUGUGUGGUGGAAAGAUUUAUCGGUGCAGGAUGGGCCCGCGGCCUAUCAGCUUGUUGGUGGGGUAAUGGCCUACCAAGGCGACGACGGGUAGCCGACCUGAGAGGGUGACCGGCCACACUGGGACUGAGACACGGCCCAGACUCCUACGGGAGGCAGCAGUGGGGAAUAUUGCACAAUGGGCGGAAGCCUGAUGCAGCGACGCCGCGUGAGGGAUGAAGGCCUUCGGGUUGUAAACCUCUUUCAGCAGGGACGAAGCGUGAGUGACGGUACCUGCAGAAGAAGCACCGGCUAACUACGUGCCAGCAGCCGCGGUAAUACGUAGGGUGCGAGCGUUGUCCGGAAUUACUGGGCGUAAAGAGUUCGUAGGCGGUUUGUCGCGUCGUUUGUGAAAACCCGGGGCUCAACUUCGGGCUUGCAGGCGAUACGGGCAGACUUGAGUGUUUCAGGGGAGACUGGAAUUCCUGGUGUAGCGGUGAAAUGCGCAGAUAUCAGGAGGAACACCGGUGGCGAAGGCGGGUCUCUGGGAAACAACUGACGCUGAGGAACGAAAGCGUGGGUAGCAAACAGGAUUAGAUACCCUGGUAGUCCACGCCGUAAACGGUGGGCGCUAGGUGUGGGUUCCUUCCACGGGAUCUGUGCCGUAGCUAACGCAUUAAGCGCCCCGCCUGGGGAGUACGGCCGCAAGGCUAAAGCUCAAAGGAAUUGACGGGGGCCCGCACAAGCGGCGGAGCAUGUGGAUUAAUUCGAUGCAACGCGAAGAACCUUACCUGGGUUUGACAUACACCGGAAAACCGUAGAGAUACGGUCCCCCUUGUGGUCGGUGUACAGGUGGUGCAUGGCUGUCGUCAGCUCGUGUCGUGAGAUGUUGGGUUAAGUCCCGCAACGAGCGCAACCCUUGUCUUAUGUUGCCAGCACGUAAUGGUGGGGACUCGUAAGAGACUGCCGGGGUCAACUCGGAGGAAGGUGGGGACGACGUCAAGUCAUCAUGCCCCUUAUGUCCAGGGCUUCACACAUGCUACAAUGGCCAGUACAGAGGGCUGCGAGACCGUGAGGUGGAGCGAAUCCCUUAAAGCUGGUCUCAGUUCGGAUCGGGGUCUGCAACUCGACCCCGUGAAGUCGGAGUCGCUAGUAAUCGCAGAUCAGCAACGCUGCGGUGAAUACGUUCCCGGGCCU